UACGGAGGGGGCUAGCGUUGUUCGGAAUUACUGGGCGUAAAGCGCGCGUAGGCGGCACAGCAAGUCGGGAGUGAAAGCCCGGGGCUCAACCCCGGAAUGGCUUUCGAAACUGCUGAGCUAGAGUACAGAAGGGGCAACCGGAAUUCCCAGUGUAGCGGUGAAAUGCGUAGAUAUUGGGAAGAACACCUGAGGCGAAGGCGGGUUGCUGGGCUGAUACUGACGCUGAGGCGCGAAAGCCAGGGGAGCAAACGGG
rnacentral:rRNA from 1 species